AGGGGGAAGGCAGAGGCCGGGGGAGAGAAGCGCCUGCCAAGACAAGAGCUCCCUGCACCAGGCAGUGCUGCACAGAGGCUGAAAACAUGAACUGGAAGGCCUUCCUGGGUAUGUGUUCCAGCACUGGAAAGCUGACAUAUGCAAGAUCUCAAAUAUGACCCCAAUCCAUCUUUUACAGGACAAGAGUCUGGAAGGGAUGCCUAGAAAGAGGACAGCACCUCAGAAGUCUGGCCCUGACAUCUCUGUGACUUUGAAGCAACAUGCUGACUUCCCCUUCCAAUCUACUGAACAAAACUGCUGACAAAGUAUCAUCUCAUUCAUUUGUUCAAAGGAGUCCUCGGCCCCUAACCUCACAGAACCAACCGAUGUGCACAUUUCUUGAAUCUUGGCAUGUUAGGCCUUUUAUGCACCUGAGCCUAAACUACCGCUAGUGUUUCUUUCCACCUUUCUCUGAAUCCAAGUCACCUGUGGUCCUCAGAGUUUCCUGGAAUGCCACAGAAUCCCAGGUCUUUGCCUUGGUUCUGUCAACCGGUCCGUCCGUCAUCUGGGGUGCCACUCCUCACUCCACCUCGGCCUGCUGAAAUCCAAGCCCUUCACCCUAGCUCUAGCAUUCACUAUGUGUACAGCUUCAGAAAUUUGUUUCAUCUUUUAGUCUUGCAUUUUUCAUAUGUGAAAUGGACUAAAAUUAUCAAUCCCAAGCUGCUGCACAUUAAAUAAAAUGAUCUGUGGGGAGAACCUA